AUACGGAGGGUCCGAGCGUUAUCCGGAAUCAUUGGGUUUAAAGGGUCCGUAGGCGGGAAUCUAAGUCAGUGGUGAAAUCUUGCAGCUCAACUGUAAAAUUGCCAUUGAUACUGGAUUUCUUGAAUUAGUGUGAAGUGGUUAGAAUGUGUAGUGUAGCGGUGAAAUGCAUAGAUAUUACACAGAAUGCCAAUUGCGAAGGCAGAUCACUAACACUAUAUUGACGCUGAGGGACGAAAGCGUGGGGAGCGAACAGGAUUAGAAACCCGGGUAGUCC
rnacentral:rRNA from 1 species